rnacentral:lncRNA from 1 species
CGGGUGCAGGACUCUGCACUUCUCCUGGUUGAACUGCACGAUGUUCCUUCAGCCUGUCCAGGCCUCUCUGGAUGGCAGCAGGACCCUCUAGUGCAUCAGCCACUCUGUCCAGUUUCAUGCCAUCUGCAAACCUGCCGAGGGUAUGUGUUGCCCCAUCUUCCAGAUCACUGAGGAACACCUGUAACAGCAGAGCUCAGCCCUUGCGGGUGUGGCUUCAGAAACCAGGGACGAUCAGCUGAGAUGGGGAGCACAGGCCGGUGGCAGCAGCUUCAGGCUGGACACUGCAUCCUCACCCCCAUCAUUUCAGUGCCUGCAGGGAGGAGGCAGGGGCUGCACAGCAGGAAACAUGAGGCAGAUCUGUGACAGGCACCUCACAAGUGCGAGACAUGGAGGUACUAGUGCUCUGCCAGGGCUUGUUUUCAGAGCAAUGAACCCCACUGUCAGCUCCGACUGAGCUCGGUGAGGAGGAAGCUGACUGCUGGGCUGCGGCACGACAAAGGGAGUGCAGAAAUGUGCAGAUGUGCACUGGGUGAUGCUCAGCAAGGGGUAGAAAAAUAACAACCCCAGAGCAGGUCUCACAUGUUCAGAGGACAGCCCAGGCAUUCAUUAACAGCAUCCAGCAAAGGACUGGGCCCUGAAACUUCCAUUAAAAUGAUUUUCCCUAUAAUAGAAGAUAACCCUCCAGCUUCAAAUACUCUCCUGUUACGUGGCUUUCUGAACAAUGUCUUUAAUUUGACCUUUGAAAAGAUUCAUCUCCACAUCUGAUGGUACAUUUGCUAGUCCAUGUUUUCAACAAUAAGAUUACAAUUGGCAUUGAGGAUAUGCUUGCACAGUCACACAUUCCCAGAUACAAAUAAAACACUCCAAGAUGCAUGGAUUAACUAACUCCAACUAACUCCACCUACAGCACACACACAAAAAGUAUAUAAUCAGGGCAGUAUGUAUCAGGGCAGUUUUCCAAAAGCUAUAUUUAGGAGGACAUUUGGAGCAGCAGCUUGUCCCUUCAGUGUGAAGGGAGAGCAUGCUUUAGAUCAACAAUGCUCCAGAGGAGAAAGAGGAAGGAAANNNNNNNNNNGGAGAAGGAGAAGGAGAAGGAGAAGGAGAAGGAGAAGGAGAAGGAGAAGGAGAAGGAGUUCUGUUUUUUUUCUGGUAUUCUGCCCAAGUCUGUCUUGCUCUUAUCAGGCUCCUUCUGAUGUCUCAAGGCUCAGCUUUUGUAUUUGAGAUGCGCCAUGUGGUGCAUUUCGGGGCACUGGGACUCUGCUUAGAAAUGGAGCUGCUGCAUUCAUUACCGUGAAACCCUGCGGGGCAGCCCGGCAUAAGCAGCCCCGUGCUCAGCUCACCCCUGUGCCAUGGUGCUACCUGCAGCCCAAGCAGCCCAGGGCCACGAGACCUCAUGCACGUCCUGGUGCCACACUGGAGCCUGGAUGGGGUGAGCUUGUUUUACAGAAAUCCCCUCUAAGGAUUAUGGAAAUCACCUGGAAAAGAAGAUAGAACGGUACAAAAUAUUCCCCUCUACUUUUGUAAAUUGCCUACCUCUAUUCAGAGCUGAGAGUCUGAGAAGAGUUUAUUUGCUUAUUUUUUUUCAAUUGUUUUCCAGGGAAACAUUUGUUUUACCAUCACUGUUGGUAUUGAUGCAUUUAAAGAACACAGCUACCUGCAUUGAAGAGGAGAUGAUUUAUUGUACUGAAUAUAAAAAGUGAAUCUCAACCAGCAUUUACCAUUACAAUGGCUAAAAGAAUAUGGGCUGGAGCACUUUCCAGCUCAGACAACUUACAACUAUUUGCAAACAAAACAAAACAAAACAAAACAAAAAAGCUUUACUGCAGAGCACAAAUAUAAAACUUACAAACCAAAAAAUACCAGAUUCUUAAGUCUCCCUCAAAGCAAUGAAUUUACUUUGUCUCCCAUUAGGAAGUGUUUGUGUUGAAUAGAAACCAAUGAGCCUGCUACAUAUUAUAAAACAGAGGAAAUGUUAAAGGAAGUCAGUUUUAAUGCUAGUUCUUACAAAAACUUGUUCAAGAUGCCCCUUGAGAAAGAUGCCAAUGAAGUGCUGUUACGUCUCAUUUCCUCUGAUGUUUUCAACAGGAAGCAUGCACUGGAGUCACGAGUUAUAUGAGAUUCUCAAACUUCAUGCUGAAAGACAAAUAAAGUUUCCAGGCACCAUGUUAAGAAGAAAAUU